UAGGGAAUCUUCCACAAUGGACGAAAGUCUGAUGGAGCAACGCCGCGUGAGUGAAGAAGGGUUUCGGCUCGUAAAAACUCUGUUGUUAAAGAAGAACAUAUCUGAGAGUAACUGUUCAGGUAUUGACGGUAUUUAACCAGAAAGCCACGGCUAACUACGUCNCA
rnacentral:rRNA from 1 species